UCUCGCACCUGCCCCGGGGACAAGGGAAAGUCACAUGUGACAAGGUCAUGAAGAACUAUGUAGGGCUGUGAGUUCGCGCUGCAGGUGGCACCUGUGCCUGGUUCCUCUCCAGGGUUUAGGGGAAGCAAACUUGGGCUUAGGAAAUUCAUGAACUUAGGUGCAUUCAAGGGCCUGAGCCUGGAAUCAGACGAUCUGAAGCACAGCCUGUCUCCUUACCGUCUCUGAAUACCUGCGACUAACCUGAGGACAAAUUCCUAAGCAAUUCCAGCUGCCAAAUGGAAAUGCUUAGCCUAGCCCAGGAGCACCUGGGAGCGACCUGGAGGAGGACUAGUCCCACUGCCUCAUCCUGGCUGUGAGAUUCCUGUGCCCGUGUCCUGCAUCAAUCCCACCAUCAAUCUCUGGCUUCUGGUUCUGCCGUCAAUCUUCUGUGGCCCAAACGUUGUGCCUGCACAGUGUGGGGCUUGGGUGCACACUGGAGCUUUCCCAGGACCCUCUAAGGAGCACGGUGACAUCCCUUUAGUAGGCUCCCCACAUCCUCCAGAUUCACGGAUUCUCAAGUCCGCAGAACUGGGCUAGAGUGGAUGUUAGGCCUUGAGGCAGCUCCUGGUGGCUUCUGACCUGGACUCACCUGCCGAGGGGUCACAAUGCUCGUGGUCCCUCCCCCUCUGUGGGGAACGUGCUGCCCAGCAGUUUUAGACAGGGUCUGAAAUGUGGCCGAGACAGCGGCCUGGCCCUUGCUCUCUCCGAUUCCUCUCUUCCUGCUUCCAGCCAGGUGGCCCAUCCUGGCUCAGGGAAGGCCCCAGCUGCCCCCAGCGCCUCAGCCUUUGCUGCUGCUUCCGUAGGACUGCUCCCACAUCCUGCAGGCCCUGGCCCCGGUGUCGCUCUCUCUGGAAAGGCUGCUGAGCACCUGGAGUGUCGCACCACCACGACUGCCCCACGGCUCCAUUUGCUUUCUUCUUAGACGUUGCUAUGAUUCUCACUUCCUAUUUACUGUCCUCUUCCCCAACCCCAUAUACAUCUUUACUCAUUGCUCUGUCCCCUGGCACCCAGUAGGGCUGCCACAGCACCUGUCAUUGAGAAGAGAGACCUCAGGUGAGGUUAACUCAAAACACCCAGAUGUCGAGUCCAGUCUGACCAUUAGUAAUGUCAGUAGAAAGUUGGCAAAUAGCCUGGAGCUCGGGAGUGACCAGCUGGAGUGCAGCCCAACAGGCCCCGAGCCCUGAGCACAGCUUCAGAAUGGACACUGGGGCUCAGCGCAUGCUGCCUGGUGGCGGCCUCGCCCUUGUCCCAACUACACAUGCUCCUCAGUAUUCAGCAGAGCCACCGAGUGCGAGUGCUGCUUUUGCAAGAACAGCCUGCCCCGUGCUCCUCAGCUGUGGGAUGCUCCUAACUGCUUUGUUGUGAGUGACAGUGAGCAUGCAGGCCAGCAGUCACCCUGCCCGCUCCUUUGGGACAGGAGCAGGCAGCGUGACUGCUGGCCUGCAUGCUCAGAGCUGGCCUCAGAGCUGGCCUGGCCCCUCUGUUUCCAGCAUGGUUCAGCACAUGGUUCAUGAUUCAGCCCCCGCCAUAGCAGGGGGGCCCUCAAGGGAGAAGUUGGAUCCUGGACUUGACACAGUGUAAGGCUCAGGGUGGUGACCACCAUGUCCUUGACCUUGGCCACCACAGGGAGGAACAGUGACAGUGAGGAGGCAGAGCCCCACACGUGGUGGUAGUUGGGGUUUGGAGAGUGGUCUCAUAGUGGACCCUGUGGCAGGGGCAGGGUCUGUGGGCUCAGGAACCCCUCUGGAAACCAAGCGGAAGGGCGGGAAGACGGGAGGGCAUAGCCCGGGGCCACCCUGCCCAGACUUGCACUGCUCUCCUGCCUCGUGGCACUGCCAUGGCCAGCGUCAUUGUCACUGAGGAGCUGCGCCACUGUCCCUGAGACAGCACGGUGACGCCACAGGCGGCCAGUUCUCCCUGAGAGUCAGACGUGGGACCUGGAGUAGCUCCCUUGGCUUCUGUGAGCCCUGCUGGCCUGGUCACCCGAGUGCCAGCCAGGAGUCAGGAAGGCUGCAGAGCCCCACAGCGCCAGCCAGGAGCCAGGCCUGGUGACGGCAACGGUGGCUCUUGGCUAAGGCUCUGCCUGGCACCCAACAUUCUCCCAGAGACUCGGGGAGGCGGGGUCCACACGUCCAGCAUAUUGCAGGCUGUGUAGAGGGUUAAGUCAACCUGACGACGAAACGUAAAAAACCACAUGGGACUACCAACUGCUCUUCUCUUGCUCACAUCAGAAGUGACAACCUGUCUGGUGACCCCAAGGGGCAGCCAGGGAGGACCGGGAAGUGGCUGAGAGGUCUUCAGGUGCACGUGUAGCCCUUAACUCCGCGAUUAGUUCAAAGGUCAACACUAGAGAAGUCUCCAGAGGUUGUCAAAUGCUGCAGGCCUGUGAAUGCCAUUGUUUAGUGGGUCCUCCAAGGAUUAUCUGGUGACUUAAAUUUCACCCAGAUGUGGUAACUUGUGGAAUCUCAUCUGGCAGAAAAGAUGAUCACAUCCUGAAGAAAAUAAUCACCCCCCACAGACACAACAGGUUGCCACAUCUUGGAGCAACUUGAAGACACCCAGCCUGAGCCGAGUCCAGAGGGGAGGGAGGGGGCUCCUCCCGGCCGAGGACAGAGGCGAAGCUGGCAGGGCUUCAGUGGCCAGAGCCCCUCCCCCCACGUCCUCCACCCCCACGGCCACGCUUCCUCCGCCCACUGCCUGAGCCACGUGUAUGCUUUGAUCCUAGGUCCUAAGCCAUGUUUUGUUUUGUUUUUAAAGAGGCAGAACAAAGCAUAUUUUCGAAUAUGAAACAAGAAAAGUUGAGAGUAGGAUCUUCUCUGAUGGAAAUAUUUCCAGAUGCUCAAAGACCCGGGAUCACAACCAACUCCAUGACCCAGAAGUAAAAGGGUCGUCUAAAAGCCUAGGGGAAGUAGCAAGUUCCUGUCUUUAGUUUGUUGUUGCUAUGAUUUGUACUCUUAAGUAUGUCUCCAGCUAGUUCAGAGAGAAACAAACUGCUCGAUGAGGAGAUCCUGUGUGUGUGUGUGUGUGUGUGUGUGUCUUAGAGGAGUGAGCUCUGGCGUUUCCUCACUUCAGUAACAGGAGACAUUAACAGGGAGGUCUUGGAAGGGAGAAGAAGAAAGAGGGGUGGCUCAGAGAAGAUUUAAACUGGCACUGUCCCCAGGCAAGGAAUAUGUCUUUAGUUUUAUGUGGUUUAAUGAUUUAAACAAGUGUCUGGAACUUGUAUUUGCACAUCUGAUGGGAAGCCCAGAGGCUGGACAGAGAGUCCGUGUAAGCAUGGACCCUGCUCUGUCCACCUUCUUGGCCGGAUUCCUGCCUAUUUCCUCUGUGUCUGUGACAUGCCAGGUCCCUGUACUGAUGCCCCAUGCACAAGCCGAAGCCCCAGGAGGACAAUGGGCACAGAGGAACCCGGCUGGCACAGGGAGGCAGUGUGCUGCAGGUGGCUGCAGGUGGCUGCAGGUGGCUGCAGGUGGCUGCGGGGCUCUGCCAGCUCUCAGGUCCUUGUGAGGUUGGAAAUACUAUGCUGACUCAGUGCCGCCUCUAGAGGGUGCUCUGUGUUCAGUGCAGGUGGAAAGGGUCGGAUCCUAAUGUUUUCAUUUUAAUUCUGAGUUCAGAAGGGUAGAGGUGCAGGAGGCUGGAGGAAGGCAGGGAGAGAAUAAUCAUAGAUAAUUUAAUUAUUUAAAAACUUUUAAUAAUAAA